UUUGCAUAUCAAAUAGCGGAGGAAAAGAAACUAACAAGGAUUCCCCUAGUAACGGCGAGUGAAGAGGGAAGAGCCCAAGUUUGAAAGCUGGCGUCUUCGGCGUCCGCAUUGUAAACUCGAGAAGCGUUUUCCGCGCCGGACCAAGCUCAAGUCCCUUGGAAUAGGGCAUCAUAGAGGGUGAGAGUCCCGUACUUGGCUUGGAGUCCCCGGGGCUUUGUGAUACGCUCUCCAAGAGUCGAGUUGUUUGGGAAUGCAGCUCAAAAUGGGUGGUAAAUGCCAUCUAAGGCUAAAUAUCGAGGAGAGACCGAUAGCGAACAAGUACCGUGAGGGAAAGAUGAAAAGAACUUUGGAAAGAGAGUUAAACAGUACGUGAAAUUGCCGGAAGGGAAGGGUAGGGAGUCAGAUAUGCUGUGCGGAUUCAGCCUUGUCUUUGGACUUGGUGUAUUUUCGUAUUGGCAGGCCAGCAUCGGUUUGUGCCGCUGGAUAUAGGCUUGGGGAAUGUGGCUUUGUCUUCGGUCAAAGUGUUAUAGCCCCUUGCUGAGUACAGCGGCAUGGACCGAGGCACGCAGCGCACCCUCUGGGCGGGCCCUC
rnacentral:rRNA from 1 species